GCGGGAAUAGCUCAGUGGUAGAGCAUCACCUUGCCAAGGUGGGGGUCGCGGGUUCAAGCCCCGUUUCCCGCUCCA
rnacentral:tRNA from 1 species